rnacentral:lncRNA from 1 species
AUGUCAUAUAGAAACCCAAAUUUCCCUUCGACUUUCGAAUCAAGCAAUAUCAAUACACAAAUAGAAAGAUGAAGAGCAAGGCAUCAAAUAAAGAUAGCCACAUCCAAGCUUCGCAAUUCCAUGAUUUUCUUCACAAACUCCCAUGUAUCAGAUGAACUCAAGUAUAUGCACUAGGCACAGGUUCAAAAUAACAGCUUCAACAAGAUCAUGUAGAAGAUGAACUCAGAUGGGAUCACAAUACUUGCUUCAGAUGAAGUUUCAAAUCACAAGCACUUGGUUU